ACAAGGUUUCCGUAGGUGAACCUGCGGAAGGAUCAUUACAGAGUUCAUGCCCGAAAGGGUAGACCUCCCACCCUUGUGUAUUAUUACUUUGUUGCUUUGGCGAGCUGCUCUUCGGGGCCUUGUAUGCUCGCCAGAGAAUAUCAAAACUCUUUUUAUUAAUGUCGUCUGAGUACUAUAUAAUAGUUAAAACUUUCAACAACGGAUCUCUUGGUUCUGGCAUCGAUGAAGAACGCAGCGAAAUGCGAUAAGUAAUGUGAAUUGCAGAAUUCAGUGAAUCAUCGAAUCUUUGAACGCACAUUGCGCCCCUUGGUAUUCCGGGGGGCAUGCCUGUUCGAGCGUCAUUUCAACCCUCAAGCUCAGCUUGGUAUUGAGUCCAUGUCAGUAAUGGCAGGCUCUAAAAUCAGUGGCGGCGCCGCUGGGUCCUGAACGUAGUAAUAUCUCUCGUUACAGGUUCUCGGUGUGCUUCUGCCAAAACCCAAAUUUUCUAUGGUUGACCUCGGAUCAGGUAGGGAUACCCGCUGAACUUAAGCAU
rnacentral:rRNA from 1 species